rnacentral:rRNA from 1 species
UACACUCCUACGGGAGGCAGCAGUGGGGAAUCUUGCGCAAUGGGCGAAAGCCUGACGCAGCCAUGCCGCGUGAAUGAUGAAGGUCUUAGGAUUGUAAAAUUCUUUCACCGGGGACGAUAAUGACGGUACCCGGAGAAGAAGCCCCGGCUAACUUCGUGCCAGCAGCCGCGGUAAUACGAAGGGGGCUAGCGUUGCUCGGAAUUACUGGGCGUAAAGGGAGCGUAGGCGGACAUUUAAGUCAGGGGUGAAAUCCCGGGGCUCAACCUCGGAAUUGCCUUUGAUACUGGGUGUCUUGAGUAUGAGAGAGGUGUGUGGAACUCCGAGUGUAGAGGUGAAAUUCGUAGAUAUUCGGAAGAACACCAGUGGCGAAGGCGACACACUGGCUCAUUACUGACGCUGAGGCUCGAAAGCGUGGGGAGCAAACAGGAUUAGAAACCCCAGUAGUCCCAUG